AAAGGCAGUGUGCUGAAAUUAAUUUGUUGGGAUGGGAUCUGCCGGCUGAUUUCAAUAGCAGAGGGGCAGAAAUCCCACUGUGCUCAGGAGUGCCACGCUUGGGCACACUGCUGCUUUCCUGCCCUUCCCCUGCUCUUCUGCUCUCCCCCCCCCCCCAGCUAAAGCCAGGCAGGGAGAGGGAGGGAGGGAAGAACAGCGAGUCCGAGAGCUCUCUGCGGUCGGCAGGGCCUAUAAAUAGCCGCUGAAGUCUUGUAAUGCCGACGGGGUGCGUCACAACCGCCCUCCCCACUCCAACCCCACUGCCGGCCCCGCAGCACCCGCAGCCCCAGGGAUGGGGAGAUGGGGGCUCACCCUGACUUUGGGAACCAUCCCCCAGGAAGCUCGUCGCUUUGCCCGGACGUUUCUCUGUGUAUUGCCACACUGAUACAUUUCUGAGCAUGGUGACCCUGUUUUAUUUCUUUGUUCUUGCCCCAAUGCCUCGUUCUGUUAGGAGCUGCUUCCACCAAUCCAUCAGACACAAGCGGGGGAACCCGCUGCCGAGUUCAUCCUCUCUGCACCUGCUCGUUCAAAACUUGACCUGCCGAAGGAAGAGAUGCCAGGCUGCCGUGUGGGAUGUGCUCCUUUUCUAGGAACAUGGUUGGUUUUACUUUAUGGCUGGUUUGCUUUUUAUCACCGCUUCAUCAUCCAUCCCUUCUCCUGAGCUCAGUGUGGUCUUCAGUCUUCUCCUUGCCAUUUCUUCCCCAUCCUUCUCUGUCCAUUCGCCACAAGCAGACUGCCUCCCGUCCCCUCAAACUUGGGAGAAACGACCUAACACGACAAAAUAAUAUGUGUUUCUGUUAUCAGUGGAAAAAAUAA
rnacentral:lncRNA from 1 species